ensembl:misc_RNA
AACGAUGGUUGGCCUUUUGGCUCUUAUGUAAUUAAAUCUGGAUCUACCUCAAAAGAAUCUUAAAACUGUGGGGAUAGGAUGCUUUCCUC